UACGAAGGGGGGCUAGCGUUGCUCGGAAUCACUGGGCGUAAAAGCGCACGUAGGCGGACUCUUAAGUCAGUGGUGAAAGCCCGGAGCUCAACUCCGGAACUGCCAUUGAAAACUGUAAGACUUUGAGGAUAGAGAGGUGAGUGGAAUUCCCCAGUGUAGAGGUGAAAUUCGUAGAUAUUGGGAAGAACACCGGUGGCGAAGGCGGGUCUCUGGGCAGUAACUGACGCUGAGGAGCGAAAAGCGUGGGGAGCGAACAGG
rnacentral:rRNA from 1 species